rnacentral:rRNA from 1 species
GACGAACGCUGGCGGCGUGCUUAACACAUGCAAGUCGAACGGAAAGGCCCUGCUUUUGUGGGGUGCUCGAGUGGCGAACGGGUGAGUAACAAGUGAGUAACCUGCCCUUGACUUUGGGAUAACUUCAGGAAACUGGGGCUAAUACCGGAUAGGAGCUCCUGCUGCAUGGUGGGGGUUGGAAAGUUUCGGCGGUUGGGGAUGUACUCGCGGCUUAUCAGCUUGUUGGUGGGGUAGUGGCUUACCAAGGCUUUGACGGGUAGCCGGCCUGAGAGGGUGACCGGCCACAUUGGUACUGAGAUACGGCCCAGACGCCUACGGGAGGCAGCAGUAGGGAAUAUUGCACAAGGGGCGGAAGCCUGAUGCAGCAACGCCGAGUGCGGGAUCACGGCCUUCGGGUUGUAAACCGCUUUCGCCUGUGACGAAGCGUGAGUGACGGUAAUGGGUAAAGAAGCAACGGCUAACUACGUG